UACGAAGGGUCCAAGCGUUGUCCGGAUUUAUUGGGCUUAAAGGGUGCGUAGGCGGCCUAUUAAGUCAGUGGUGAAAGCCUGGUGCUCAACAUCAGAACUGCCAUUGAUACUGAUGGGCUUGAGUACACUUGAGGAGGGCGGAAUGUGUCAUGUAGCGGUGAAAUGCUUAGAUAUGACACAGAACACCGAUUGCGAAGGCAGCGCUCUGGGGUGAAACUGACGCUGAGGCACGAAAGCGUGGGGAGCAAACAGG
rnacentral:rRNA from 1 species